rnacentral:lncRNA from 1 species
UGUAAGUCCAUCGAGUGGCGUUCGGGUUCUAGUGUGGGUUUGAUUGGUUCGGAUGCUGAUGUAAGUCCAGUGAUUGGCAUUCAGGCUCCACGUUUGCCUUCUUGUGUAUGUUUUGGUUCGGAUGCUGAUGUAAGUCCAGUGAUUGGCAUUCAGGCUCCACGUUUUCCUUUGCCUGUGUUUGUUUGUGUGCGUGUUAGCCGAGCUACGAAUGCUCUGAUUCUCCUUCGUCCGAGGAGAUACGUAUGCAUAGGAUGCGACAUCCUAGCGAGCAUGU